CUGCCAUCUGUUUAUCUUUAAUUGUCUGUUAAAAUCUUUUGCCCGUUUCUAAUUUGGCUGUUUGCUUUUUUAUUGUUAAGUUUUAAGAGUUCCUUGUGUGUUUUAGAUACCUGUCCUUUAUCAAAUACGUGUUUUGCAGUUUUUUUCUCCCAGUCUGUGGCUUGUCUUUUCAUUGUCUUAACAGUAUCUUUUUUUUUUUUUUUAGAUGGAGUCUU
rnacentral:lncRNA from 10 species